rnacentral:rRNA from 1 species
CCUACGGGCGUCAGCAGUAGGGAAUUUUGCGCAAUGGGCGAAAGCCUGACGCAGCAACACCGCGUGAAUGUUAAGCCCUUCGGGGUGUAAAGUUCUGUCAAUAGGGACGAAUUUUGACUGUACCUAUAAAGGAAGCACCGGCUAACUCCGUGCCAGCAGCCGCGGUAAUACGGGGGGUGCAAGCGUUAUCCGGAUUUAUUGGGUUUAAAGGGUGCGCAGGCGGCGAGUUAAGUCAGCGGUAAAAUUUCGGGGCUCAACCCCGACAAGCCGUUGAAACUGGCUUGCUAGAGUGGGCGAGAAGUAUGCGGAAUGCGUGGUGGAGCGGUGAAAUGCAGAGAUAUCACGCAGAACUCCGAUUGCGAAGGCAGCAUACGGGCGCCCAACUGACGCUCAGGCACGAAAGCGUGGGUAUCGAACAGGAUUAGAUACCCGUGUAGUC